GUGUAUUAAGUAAUGGCUUCUCUAGAACCAUUUAGUUUUCUUAGAACUAAAUAUAAUUCAACUAGGCUUAAAUUUAAUGACACAUUUUAAUGAAGCUUUAGGAAACAAUAUCAAAAAUAAAGACAAAAGAACAAUUUUGGGCCCAUUACGUCUUGUAACCGUUUGUUAGCUUAAGCAAUCAUAUAUCCUUAAGCAGACGGAGAUGGUGAAUCGAUCAAUGCAAGGCAAUUAUUCCAUGUCUGAAUGCUCUUCGCUAUAAUUGUCGCUGGGCUUAGGUCUUUGAAUAGAGGAUUUUCUAGAGUCCUCUUUCCUAAUGCUGAGUGGCAAACUUUUCCCAACACAACAAGUUCGCCGCAACACUUGUUAGAAAUACUCCCUGUCUCGAAAAUACUCGUGAAAACUUCUAGAACACAGGGCAAACCCAUUUUAGUUUCACAAUUAUUUUCCUUAAUAAUCUGGUCAUUCUCCUUCGUGGCCAUUCCUGCCCCGCAAGUUAAGAAUAAAACCACUAGUACGGAAUAAACAUGAAGGCAUGCCAUACCGCUCGAAUCUGAUGUUACUAGUUAAAUUUGGUUCGUAAAAUUAAUUUCGAACAAGAUUUACAGGGAAAAAACUGGCAUUUAUAGGAAGUGUUAUAACCACAUUCGACUACAAUACGUUACAAUAAAAGAAAACAUUCAGCAAUUCAGUUUAAUUAGAACAUUCAAUAUUUCAGUCUAAUUAGCAUUAAUUUUAAUUACUACAAAUCAAAAUAUUAAUUCAAAC
rnacentral:lncRNA from 1 species